UCUUUGCGAACUGUUUUUAGCCACUUGCUAUAAGAUCUCCCACAUUAUAGUACAAGCCCUUUAAGAGGAAUGUGUGUUGAGUCCAAAAUGGAAGAAAUAUUCAUAUUUCCGACAAAGCAUUUAGAGAACAACUUCCGAUUUUGUAGCCAUUGAAGAUGGAUAAAAGACGGUAUUUAUAUAUAUUUGUUCUUGGUUUAAAUCAUCUAUAACCCAUAUAUCCAUUUGAUCGAUAAUAAUCGAUAUCGCUGUUCUAAGGAUGUUUUAGAACUUAUAGGAGCUGGACACAAUAAAUUGGAAAGCAUUUCCCAUUGUGUGGAGCUAAUGGAAGAAGCAUCACAGCUGCUGGAAAAUUGAAUAAUCAUUCGCGGAUCCGUUAUGGCAAAAAUCCAGUGUUUGAUAACUCUUGAGCCUUCUUGUAGCGGCGCUGUUGCCGAGCGGAUUGACUGCGAGGGUAUUGGUGUGCCUAUAGAACCGAUCCUAACACUAAUUGUUUUAUCUGGUAAUUCUCAGGCAUACUUAAUAAAGAUAGAGGUGCUAUUUGGUUGGUAUUCAAAAUAAAAGAGCACAAUAUAAUUAAA